rnacentral:rRNA from 1 species
GACGAACGCUGGCGGCGUGCUUAACACAUGCAAGUCGAACGGUGAUCCAUCAGCUUGCUGGUGGUGAUCAGUGGCGAACGGGUGAGUAACACGUGAGUAACCUGCCCCUGACUCUGGAAUAACCCCGGGAAACCGGGGCUAAUACCGGAUAUGACAUCAUCCCGCAUGGGUGUGGUGUGGAAAGUUUUUUCGGUUGGGGAUGGGCUCGCGGCCUAUCAGCUUGUUGGUGAGGUAGUGGCUCACCAAGGCGACGACGGGUAGCCGGCCUGAGAGGGCGACCGGCCACACUGGGACUGAGACACGGCCCAGACUCCUACGGGAGGCAGCAGUGGGGAAUAUUGCACAAUGGGCGGAAGCCUGAUGCAGCGACGCCGCGUGAGGGAUGACGGCCUUCGGGUUGUAAACCUCUUUCAGCUCUGAAGAAGCGAAAGUGACGGUAGGAGCAGAAGAAGCAUCGGCUAACUACGUGCCAGCCGCCGCGGUAAAAC